rnacentral:rRNA from 1 species
AAGGAGGUGAUCCAGCCGCACCUUCCGAUACGGCUACCUUGUUACGACUUCACCCCAAUCAUCUAUCCCACCUUAGGCGGCUGGCUCCAAAAAGGUUACCUCACCGACUUCGGGUGUUACAAACUCUCGUGGUGUGACGGGCGGUGUGUACAAGGCCCGGGAACGUAUUCACCGCGGCGUGCUGAUCCGCGAUUACUAGCGAUUCCGGCUUCAUGUAGGCGAGUUGCAGCCUACAAUCCGAACUGAGAGAAGCUUUAAGAGAUUAGCUUAGCCUCACGACUUCGCGACUCGUUGUACUUCCCAUUGUAGCACGUGUGUAGCCCAGGUCAUAAGGGGCAUGAUGAUUUGACGUCAUCCCCACCUUCCUCCGGUUUGUCACCGGCAGUCUUGCUAGAGUGCCCAACUAAAUGAUGGCAACUAACAAUAAGGGUUGCGCUCGUUGCGGGACUUAACCCAACAUCUCACGACACGAGCUGACGACAACCAUGCACCACCUGUCACUUUGCCCCCGAAGGGGAAGCUCUAUCUCUAGAGUGGUCAAAGGAUGUCAAGACCUGGUAAGGUUCUUCGCGUUGCUUCGAAUUAAACCACAUGCUCCACCGCUUGUGCGGGCCCCCGUCAAUUCCUUUGAGUUUCAACCUUGC